UCUCAGUUCGGAUUGUAGUCUGCAACUCGACUACAUGAAGCUGGAAUCGCUAGUAAUCGCGAAUCAGAAUGUCGCGGUGAAUACGUUCCCGGGUCUUGUACACACCGCCCGUCACACCAUGGGAGUUGGGAAUGCCCGAAGCCGGUGACCUAACCGAAAGGGAGGAGCCGUCGAAGGCAGGCUUGAUAACUGGGGUGAAGUCGUAACAAGGUAUC
rnacentral:rRNA from 1 species